GGCGGACGGGUGAGUAAUACUUAGGAAUCUGCCCAUUAGUGGGGGACAACUAGAAGAAAUUCUAGCUAAUACCGCAUACGCCCUACGGGGGAAAGCGGGGGAUCUUCGGGCCUCGCGCUAAUGGAUGAGCCUAAGUCGGAUUAGCUUGUUGGUGAGGUAAAGGCUCACCAAGGCGACGAUCCGUAGCUGGUCUGAGAGGACGAUCAGCCACACUGGGACUGAGACACGGCCCAG
rnacentral:rRNA from 1 species